rnacentral:tRNA from 1 species
AGCUCAGUUGGCUAGAGCGCCUGCCUUGCAAGCAGGAGGUCAAGAGUUCGACUCUCUUA